rnacentral:tRNA from 2 species
GGCGAGGUAGCUCAGUUGGUUAGAGCAUCGGAUUCAUAACCCGAAGGCCGAGAGUUCAAAUCUCUCUCUCGCUA